GUACUUGCUUCAGCAGCACACAUGCUAAAAUUGGAAAGAGAUUAGCAUGGCCCCUGCUCAAGGAUGACAUGCAAAUUCACGAAGCAUUGCAUAUUUUU
ensembl:snRNA U6 U6 spliceosomal RNA